CUACGGGAUGCACCAGUGGGGAAUAUUGCACAAUGGGCGCAAGCCUGAUGCAGCCAUGCCGCGUGUAUGAAGAAGGCCUUCGGGUUGUAAAGUACUUUCAGUGGGGAGGAAGGGAGUAAAGUUAAUACCUUUGCUCAUUGACGUUACCCGCAGAAGAAGCACCGGCUAACUCCGUGCCAGCAGCCGCGGUAAUACGGAGGGUGCAAGCGUUCAUCGGAAUUACUGGGCGUAAAGCGCACGCAGGCGGUUUGUUAAGUCAGAUGUGAAAUCCCCGGGCUCAACCUGGGAACUGCAUCUGAUACUGGCAAGCUUGAGUCUCGUAGAGGGGGGUAGAAUUCCAGGUGUAGCGGUGAAAUGCGUAGAGAUCUGGAGGAAUACCGGUGGCGAAGGCGGCCCCCUGGACGAAGACUGACGCUCAGGUGCGAAAGCGUGGGGAGCAAACAGGAUUAGAUACCCGCGUAGUC
rnacentral:rRNA from 1 species